rnacentral:rRNA from 1 species
CCGUUGCCGGCGACCGGCGCACGGGUGAGUAACACGUAUGCAACCUGCCCGUGGCAGGGGGAGUAAGCGGGGAAACCCCGUCUAAUACCGCGUAACGCGGCCUAGGGACAUCCCAAGGCCGCCAAAGGGAGCAAUCCCGGCCACGGAUGGGCAUGCGGCGCAUUAGCUAGUCGGCGGGGUAACGGCCCACCGAGGCGACGAUGCGUAGGGGUUCUGAGAGGAAGGCCCCCCACACUGGUACUGAGACACGGACCAGACUCCUACGGGAGGCAGCAG